UUAUAGUUGGAUCCUCAACAUCAGAUAUGUACAUCAAACACACUUUUCAUCUUUUGCCCGCAUACUUCAGCAUGACUGCAGAAAAAUAACGCAGCAUGACUGCUACAUGGUGGAAACCAUGCCUGUACAAUGCAGUCCAAAGAGUUACAUGAUUGUUUCAAGUAUAUAUAAAUUCACAAAACGAUAAUAGUACACUCGUGACAGAAAGAAUAAACAGUCAAAUCAAAAAUUGCAACUGUGCAAUACUGAAAAAAAAAUGUAAUACAACUGCCCAAGAGUUAUUAUUGGAGAAAUUAUGCAUACCAUUCAAAAUGCUGAUGAAGUCAAAUCUUGCUGGAACAAUAUGUUUUUCCAAUUUGAAAUAUUUAGUUUAGCUUCACUUGAGAUGUGUUGUCUCCAAAGUGAUUUACAGCUGAAUGGUAUGUUAAAGUAUGUUGACAAGCCUUGUCUUGUAGUUUUCGGCAUUUUCUCUGGAUUUUCUAAGCCUUUUCAUAUGACAGAGAAGAAAUUGAACCUGAACAGAUCCUUGUUAUUUCAUUUAUUUCUGAUCACUAACAAGAAAAAUUCAACCUGAACAGAUUCUCCGUUGGCUCUUACCAUCAUCAGCUGUCCAUAGGACAGAGAAGAAAUUGAACACCAAUAUUGAAAAGCUGGG
rnacentral:lncRNA from 1 species